rnacentral:rRNA from 1 species
CCCUUAGAUGUUCUGGGCCGCACGCGUGCUACACUGAGUGGAUCAGCGGGUCAGGUUGCGCGAAAGCGUUUCCUAAUCUUUAAAUCCGCUCGUGAUGGGGAUUGACGGUUGCAAUUUUCUGUCAUGAACGAGGAAUACCUUGUAAGCGCGGGUCAUCAUCCCGCGCUGAAUACGUCCCUGCCCUUUGUACACACCGCCCGUCGCUCCUACCGAUUGAGUGGUCCGGUGAGGCUUUGGGAUCUGAGCGGAAAGAGCGUUUCGCUGUUACUGCUCGGAAAACUCAGUCGAACCUUAUCAUUUAGAGGAAGGAGAAGUCGUAACA